CUGUAAUCUAUUAAAAUCGUUAAUGGCCUCCUCGCCAGAAAAGUUUAGCAAAGUAACAAUCAUGACCAAAUUGACGUCUUUCCUUUCGCUUCUCAGAGCACUGGGUUUCAUGUUGUUGCUUAGAACUCUGUUAAUUUUCGUAUGUGUUUCCAUCAAAACUUAAUACGCCAGGUUUUUUAAUCUCACUUCCUACACCAUGUCAAAGAUCGUAGCCCUGGGCCAUCCAAAGUUCAGUGUAGCAAAGUUCUCAAUGAGCAUGCACAUCGUGGACAACGCCAAACAUUCUAACAUGACAGUGAGAGGCAGAGUUGGAACUAUGCUGCAUUAAAUGUUUCAUCAGCACAAGGACUUAAGUGAUUUGGAGAUUGAGAUUGCAAAGGAGGACACAUGGUGGGGCAAAAACAUAAAACUGUUUGACAUGCUAGUUGCCCUUUCAAGUCAUCAGCCCUCAUCAAGACAAGAGAAGACAACUCAAUUAUAUUUUCGCCAGAUAAAGUUCAAUCAAAAACCUGCCACCACAGGUAGCAAAAGUUAAUCAGUGCAGGCCGGUAAAUCAAAUUGUUUGAUUAUGCAAAAUUUUCUUGUUUCACUUCCCCACUGAUGCUGUACAAUAGUUUCUUUAGAAUCUGAGCACUAUUUCCUGUACCCUAAGGUCUGAAUUUAAAUAAAUACAAAGAUAACAGCUCAACAAAUUCAAGCCAAAAGCACAGCACAGGCACCUCUGGCCAGCCAUUAUUCACUUCAUGUAUGAUCCUGCAGCAGAGCACCAUGGUCAGAUGCUGGGAGUCAAUUUUGUUUAAAGAGAAUCACCCAGAUACUGUUUGGUUAGUUUGAAUUUGGCUAAAACUAAGGCCACAAACAAAUGAAAGGUUUAGUCUCUAAAGAAACUGUAUUUUCAUGCAUGUCGCUAGGGAAGUGUAAUAUAGUUGAAAUAAACUUGAAGGGUCAAAUUUUCACCAUAAAAAGUAAUAAAGCUGAUGCUUUGAGUACUAGCCCGAUGUCAGAGCAAAUGUUGAAUAUCAAAUUUCCUUUGAGAGAACGUUAAAUUUUGCUGAGGUGGACAAUGAUGAAUGUGGUGAUGCUUUUC